AUUGAACGCUGGCGGCGUGCUUAACACAUGCAAGUCGAUCGGUAACGCGGGGGCAACCCUGGCGACGAGAGGCGGACGGGUGAGGAACGCUUGGGAAUCUGCCUAUCAGCGGGGGACAACCCGGGGAAACUCGGGCUAAUACCGCAUACGCUCUACGGAGGAAAGCCGGGGACCGCAAGGCCUGGCACUGAUAGAUGAGCCCAAGUCGGAUUAGCUAGUUGGCGGGGUAACGGCCCACCAAGGCGACGAUCCGUAGCUGGUCUGAGAGGACGAUCAGCCACACUGGGACUGAGACACGGCCCAGACUCCUACGGGAGGCAGCAGUGGGGAAUAUUGGACAAUGGGGGAAACCCUGAUCCAGCGACGCCGCGUGGGUGAAGAAGGCCUGCGGGUUGUAAAGCCCUUUCGGUAGGGACGGAAGCUCUCGACCUAACACGUCGGGAGGUUGACUUAACCUACAAAAGAAGCACCGGCUAACUCUGUGCCAGCAGCCGCCGUAAAAC
rnacentral:rRNA from 1 species